UGCCAGUCGCCGCGGUAAUAUGGAGGGUACAUGCGUUAAUCGGAAUUACUGGGCGUAAAGCGCGCGUAGGCGGUUUGGUCAGUUGGAUGUGAAAGCCCCGGGCUUAACCUGGGAACUGCAUUCAAUACUGCCAGGCUAGAGUACGGUAGAGGGGGGUAGAAUUCCACGUGUAGCGGUGAAAUGCGUAGAGAUGUGGAGGAAUACCAGUGGCGAAGGCGGCCCCCUGGAUCGAUACUGACGCUGAGGUGCGAAAGUGUGGGGAGCAAACAGGGUUAGAUA
rnacentral:rRNA from 1 species